rnacentral:rRNA from 1 species
UACAGAGGGUGCAAGCGUUAAUCGGAAUUACUGGGCGUAAAGCGUGCGUAGACGGUUAUGUAAGUCGGGUGUGAAAGCCCCGGGCUCAACCUGGGAAUGCCAUUCGAGACUGCAUAGCUAGGGUGCGGAAGAGGGAAGCGGAAUUUCCGGUGUAGCGGUGAAAUGCGUAGAUAUCGGAAGGAACACCAGUGGCGAAAGCGGCUUCCUGGUCCAGCACCGACGUCAGGCACGAAAGCGUGGGGAAGCAAACAGGG